AUAGCACACUUUUACUCUACGCAACUGUUGCUUUUUCAUGAUCUUCAGGAAUUUUACUGGGAUAAUUAUCCAAAUAAAUUGCAAGCAUUCUAUCCAAAUGGAGCUCUUUCUGAGAUGAAGAGAAUUCUCAAUGUCAAGAUUUGAACAAGAAGAGAAUGGAAUACACAAUAUGGACAUCCAUAAAAAUUCAUCAGAGAGCAUUUUACUACUGAGCUGCAAAGGGAAAAACUUAAAAUGGAUAUGAAAAGUGAAGAAAGUGAUCAUAGGAGAAAACCAUUUCAGAUAUCUGUGGAUAUCUCUCCAGAACUUCAUGUAUAUUUGGAUAAAAGAAAGCUUCGGGCUUUGUAUUUCUUGAAAACCAAGAAAAAUCAACCACCUCAGAAGAGCCAGAUUCCACUUCUGUGGCCAGGACUUUUACAUUAUGGCUGGUCCGAUUGUUUUACCCUGCGUUCUAUGCUACUAAACCUUGGAUCAUUCCUAAAGUACAAAUUCUGUUCUCGAACCACAAACAAGGCUAAAAGAUCGGAGGAAAUUCAGUGAAUAUACAGGAUUGGGGUUGUGUAUUUUUAAAAGUAUUGAGCUUUAUAAUGUAAUUAUUCAAGAAAUAGAAUCAUGGUUUUUUUAUGAUGUUGCCAGCAUUUUAAAUUACAUGUUUAUUAAGUGGCAUUGCUCAAAUAACUACAGAGUAUGCGUGGAAAUAUUUGCUGUCUGAAUAGUUUGGAGAUUCAAAGAGAAAAAUCAAGCUUCAGAGGUAUUAAAUUAUGACAUGCAGAAAAGUUUUUGUUUUGUUCUUAACUGCAACGGUAUAUAUUUAAAUCCGAUUUAAAGUAUUAUAUGUCCUGGGCCCACCUUACCAGUUGUGCUGUAUAGCAGUGUAAUGGGAAGCAAAAUUUCAAUUAGGGUCCCAUUAACUGGCAUAUAAUCCUUCUUUAAUGUAAUAGAGGCUAUGGUGUUGCUGUACAAAUCUGCUAGAAGCAGAUUUUAACCCAUGUUUAGUCUCUUUCUUUGGAUCUAAUGGAAUGACUCUUAACUGUUCAUUGUCUGCAUUGUUUCUCAUAUUCUUCAUUAUUUUAAGGUCUGGAAUUAGUCUAUAAAUGGUCGUCGUGAUUACUCAGCUCAUCCUAACUUUUAUAUAUCAUAUAUAUUUCUACUGAAGUAUUUUAAAUAGUAUUUAGAGGUAAAAGUCUAAGUGAACCCAACUGUAAUUUCUAAGCUAUCCUUAUUUCUGGAAGAAGAAUUCUACCGCAUCAAACCAGACUUUUCCUAG
ensembl:lncRNA MIR99AHG mir-99a-let-7c cluster host gene